rnacentral:tRNA from 1 species
GCGGGGGUAACCAAGCCCGGUUAUACAUUCUGCCGACAGGUGCCGGCCUGCUAAGCCGGUUCCCCAUGGGGGAGCGCGGGUUCAAAUCCCGCCCCCCGCGCCA